rnacentral:rRNA from 1 species
AUUUUCCGGUUGAUCCUGCCGGAGGUUACUGCUAUCGAGGUUCGACUAAGCCAUGCGAGUCGAACGUCCCAAUACAUGGCGUACUGCUCGGUAACACGUGGACAACCUGCCGUUAGGUUGGGUACAAACCCGGGAAACUGGGUAUAAUCCCGUAUAAGUCUCGGCUGCUGGAAUGCACCGAGAUUAAAAGCUCCGGCGCCUAAGGAUGGGUCUGCGGCCUAUCAAGUAUGAUUGGGUGUAGCGUACCUACUAAUCUAGGAGGGGGACAGGUUGUGAGAGCAAGAGCCCGGAGAUGGAUUCUGAGACGCGAAUCCGGGCCCUACGGGGUGCACCGAGAGCGAAAACUUUACAAUGCUGGGAACAGCGAUCAGGGAACCUCGAGUGCGAGGAUACAAAUCUGGCUGUCGAGAUGCCUAAAAAGCAUUUCAUAGCAAGGGCCGGGCAAGACCGGUGCCAGCCGCCGCGGUAACACCGGCGGCUCGAGUGGUAACCGUUAUUAUUGGGUCUAAAGGGUCUGUAGCCGGCCGGAUAAGUCUCUUGAGAAAUCUGGCAGCUUAACUGUCAGGCUUUCAGGAGAUACUGUCUGGCUCGAGGCCGGGAGAGGUGAGAGGUACUUCAGGGGUAGGGGUGAAAUCUUGUAAUCCUUGAAGGACCACCAGUGGCGAAGGCGUCUCACCAGAACGGACCUGACGGCAAGGGACGAAAGCUAGGGGCACGAACCGGAUUAGAUACCCGGGUAGUCCUAGCCGUAAACGAUACUCGCUAGGUGUCGGCCACGGUGCGAGCCGUUGUCGGUGCCGUAGGGAAGCCGUGAAGCCAGCCACCUGGGAAGUACGGCCGCAAGGCUGAAACUUAAAGGAAUUGGCGGGGGAGCACCACAACGGGUGGAGCUUGCGGUUUAAUUGGAUUCAACGCCGGAAAU